rnacentral:rRNA from 1 species
AAUCCUGGCUCAGGACGAACGCUGGCGGCGUGCCUAAUACAUGCAAGUCGAACGCUUCUUUUUCCACCGGAGCUUGCUCCACCGGAAAAAGAGGAGUGGCGAACGGGUGAGUAACACGUGGGUAACCUGCCCAUCAGAAGGGGAUAACACUUGGAAACAGGUGCUAAUACCGUAUAACAAUCUAAACCGCAUGGUUUUGAUUUGAAAGGCGCUUUCGGGUGUCGCUGAUGGAUGGACCCGCGGUGCAUUAGCUAGUUGGUGAGGUAACGGCUCACCAAGGCCACGAUGCAUAGCCGACCUGAGAGGGUGAUCGGCCACAUUGGGACUGAGACACGGCCCAAACUCCUACGGGAGGCAGCAGUAGGGAAUCUUCGGCAAUGGACGAAAGUCUGACCGAGCAACGCCGCGUGAGUGAAGAAGGUUUUCGGAUCGUAAAACUCUGUUGUUAGAGAAGAACAAGGAUGAGAGUAACUGUUCAUCCCUUGACGGUAUCUAACCAGAAAGCCACGGCUAA